AGAGUUUGAUCCUGGCUCAGGACGAACGCUGGCGGCGUGCCUAAUACAUGCAAGUCGAGCGGACAGAUGGGAGCUUGCUCCCUGAUGUUAGCGGCGGACGGGUGAGUAACACGUGGGUAACCUGCCUGUAAGACUGGGAUAACUCCGGGAAACCGGGGCUAAUACCGGAUGGUUGUUUGAACCGCAUGGUUCAAACAUAAAAGGUGGCUUCGGCUACCACUUACAGAUGGACCCGCGGCGCAUUAGCUAGUUGGUGAGGUAACGGCUCACCAAGGCAACGAUGCGUAGCCGACCUGAGAGGGUGAU
rnacentral:rRNA from 1 species